UGACCAGGGAUUUUACUCCUGUGUGUUUUCUGUUUAUCAUAAUGGAAAAUUUUAUAACAUCACCAAAACCUACAACGUAAUAGUAACUGAAGGUCAGAAGAAUAUGGCUCCCGUUCUUAUUGGACCAAAGAUUAAUUAUGUUGAAGUGGAAUUAGGAAAAACUGUACAGCUGAAUUGCUCGGCUUUGAUGAAUGAAAACGACAUAAUUUAUUGGAGCUUCUGGAAAGAAAUGGACCAAUUUAGUAAUAUACAGGAGGAAGGAAAGAAA
rnacentral:lncRNA from 1 species